ensembl:piRNA 21ur-148 ncRNA
UCCGAAAAAUCGAUUAUGGAC